rnacentral:rRNA from 1 species
GGGAUUUAAGCAUAUCAAUAAGCGGAGGAAAAGAAACCAACAGGGAUUCCCUUAGUAACGGCGAGCGAAAAGGGAUGAGCCCAGCAUGUAAAUCUCCGGUUUCCGGCGAAUUGUAGUCUGGAGUAGCAACUCCUGGUGCCGUGCCGGCCCAAGCAUCUUGGAAUAGAUCGCCUCAGAGGGUGAGAGCCCCGUAGGUCGGUACGAGCUCCUACACGGAGUGCUCACGCAGAGUCGGGUUGUUUGGGAAUGCAGCCCCAAUUGGGUGGUAAACCCCAUCUAAGGCUAAAUACCUGUGGGAGACCGAUAGCAAAAAAGUACCUCGAGGGAACGAUGAAAAGACCGCUGGCAAGCGAGUGAAAGAGUGCAUGAAAUUGUAUAGUGGGAAGGGAUGGCCUGGCGUAUUGCCCGCGGGUAUACACUGCUCCUUGAGCUCUUGAAUACACCGUGGGCUGGCUGGUGCCGACACCUGCGCUUGCAAAUCCCCAAACUAAGGUGUUUGGCUCUUCAAGCGCGGGUGUUGAGGUUGAUCGUCGCUCUGUUUUAAACUGCGUCGACAAAGCACCAGCUGAAGCCUGUCCAUCUACCCGUCUUGAAAAA